GUAGGUACUUAACUUCUUUGAGGUUUGCUUUUUCAUUUGUAAAAUGCAGGUGAUAAUAAUACCUACCUCACAGAAUUAUUAUGGUGAUGAGUAAGAUCCUAGAUUUAAAGCACUUAGCAGAGUGGGAGAAGGGAGACCUUGAAUUGGCUCUUUUUAACCUACUCCCCUGUUGCAGCCAUUCAGGCUUGUGAGUCAGGGGGUGGGACCUGGGCGUGUACCAGGAGCCCACCCAAGCCAUGGUCCGCACAGACCUGUUGCCCUGAGGGGCCUUCGCAGUAGACACUAGAGCCAGGGAAACUGUGGGCAGAGCCAGGGCAGAGGUGGGCAAAGGAAAAGGAGGAGAGCUUCUUUCUAAACGAUUGGGAGGGACGCAGAGAAGGGAAAGUUUCCUCCUUUAGAACCAAAUUGGAGGAAGAAGAGAAUCCAGCAACACUGAAGAUGGAAGUUCCACAGGAGCCUUCUGCCCUCUGAGUUCUUUUAAACCAAGAAAUAUCAUAGCAAAGAAGGCCCACACCAACACACAACAGGCCACAGCUCCUGAUACCAAAGCCUGCCUUGGGUUUGAAUGUGAUGCCAGCUGCCUACAAGCCCUGAGGGAGGUCCUCCAUACCUAGCGAUGGCAAAUUUAUGUUUGGCUCGUGCUAACACCCACUUACUAGUAUUACAGUUACAGAAAUGUGUUGUAGAUUCUGAAUCUGCCACUGGUCUCAGUGGGAAAAAUUUGUGGUUGACUAGCCCUGUUGGCUUUUGGAAUGGUAGUGAGGAACUGCAAGUACAGGUCGUGAUUGGCCAGCCCUGGACUACGAAAGGAGACUCACUGAAUCAACAAAUUACUGUACCUUUUGUCUCAUUCAGAGUAGGAGGGACACAAAGUUUUAAAGAUUCAUUUAAUCCUCAGGUUCAAAGGCAACAGUUCUGGAGGCUGGAAAGUCCAGGAUCAAGGCGUCAGCAGGUUCAGUGUUGGACUUUCAAGCUCUGGGAGAAACAGAAAGCUGCCGCCUUACUCAGUGCCGCGAUGGGGAGCCGUGCCCUGUGCCCGGACACAGGAGGCACCCAAUGAGCCUUCGUUGGACUGCAGCCAGAAGCAGCCUGUGGCAAAUGUGACAUUUUUUGAUAUCUUUGGUUUUGUCUUAAAACUCAGAAGAAUUUUCCCUUCUAUUACAUACUGCAUCUGUUAUUUUCAAUAUAAAAAUAAUUUUGUGUUCUAAUGAUGGAGUAAUUUAGCACAACAGGAGAUAGCCAUGGUUUUUCCAUUCCUUUGUGAAUUGCUAGAGAUGAAAACUCCCCAUCUUUAACUUAAAAGAUUAAUGAUGAUUUAGCUUCCCAAUGAAGUUAUAUUAUGGAUGAGGAUCUUUUUCCAAAAUGAUCACUGUGGGGAUCAGCAUAUCCUAGUUUGAGAUGAGUGAAGGAAAACUGUCAUUCACACUUUGCUGUAGGCUCCUGCAUGCCACCCACAUGAAGCAGGACACGGGGGCAUGCCACGGCUGAGAGGAAAGGUUCAGAAUGUCUGGGUGGGCUUCAGAUGCGCAGAGGAAACAGCCCAGCACAAACCUGGCACAGACUGUGUGUGUGGCAGUAGGGCAAGAGUAUUUGAUAAAUAAAAAAUAAGCUUCCCAAAGAUGAACUUCCCGAAGUUUGGGUGAUAGACCCAGAGAAGCUGAAAAAGAGCAGUCACCCAGAGGCCAGAUGGAGAGAGCCCAAUGUGGCGUGUGCAGGCCUCACUCACUCAUGCCAAGAGCCUGGCAGCAAAGUGCAAAUCCUGAGGGGGGAGUUCUGCUGUGUCCGUUCAGGGUCGAGGCUGGGCUUUCGGACACUGGCACCAGACAUUCUGUGUUCACAGUCAGCGCGGACACUUACUAGUUGGUUGACUACCGGAACAUUAGCCCUAAGCUGACAUCUGCUGCCAAUCCUCUGCUUUUUGCUGAGGAAGACUGGCCCUGAGGAACAUCCGUCCCCAUCUUUCUCUACUUUAUAUGUGGGACACCUGCCAUAGCAUGGCUUCAUAAGUGGUGGGUAGGUUCACACCCAGGAUGUGAACCGGCAAACUCUGGGUGGAGAAAGUGGAACGUGCAAACUCAACCGCUGUGCCACGGGGCUGGCCCCUGAAUAGAAAUUUUUUUUAAAGUAUUAUUUCAAUUGUUGCUGGUAGAUAAAAAUGUUAUGGACUUGAGUAUGUUAAUCUUAUGCCCAGCAAAUGUGCUGAGCUCUCUCAUUCAUUAUAAUACUGUAUUUGUAAAUUCUCUUGGAUUUUCUGGAUAAAUAAUCAUAUUGUUUAUGAAAAAUACGAAUUUUAUUUCUUCCUUUCCAAACUUUAUGUCAUUUAUUUCCUU
rnacentral:lncRNA from 1 species